rnacentral:lncRNA from 1 species
GGAAAUUUAUAAAAAUGACCACAUUAUUGAUAUUCAUGUCAACACCGAAAUGUUGACUACUGGGCUGGUGAUACCCUCGGGAACGAAACGUCCACCAGCAGUGGCAUCGACCAGUGGUUAAAAUAGUUAUCAAAGGUACCAGGAUUAUAAUUAAGUACGCCAUACGCGCGUUUCGUCUACAUUAGACUCAUCAGUGACGCUCAUAUCGAAAUAUUAAAAAGCCAAACAAAUACAAAGUUGAAG